rnacentral:rRNA from 1 species
CUACGGGGGGCACCAGUGAGGAAUAUUGCACAAUGGGGGGAACCCUGAUGCAGCAACGCCGCGUGGAGGAUGACGCAUUUCGGUGUGUAAACUCCUUUUAUAUGUCAAGAAAAUGACGGUAGCAUAUGAAUAAGCACCGGCUAACUCCGUGCCAGCAGCCGCGGUAAUGCGGAGGGUGCAAGCGUUACUCGGAAUCACUGGGCGUAAAGGACGCGUAGGCGGGUUGGAAAGUCAGGGGUGAAAUCCUACAGCUUAACUGUAGAACUGCACUUGAAACUUCUAAUCUAGAGUAUGGGAGGGGGGGAUGGAAUUAGUGGUGUAGGGGUAAAAUCCGUAGAUAUCACUAGGAAUACCUAAAGCGAAGGCGAUCUCCUGGAACAUUACUGACGCUAAGGCGUGAAAGCGUGGGGAGCAAACAGGAUUAGAUACCCCAGUAGUC